GCCUAACACAUGCAAGUCGAACGGUACAGGAAUCAGCUUGCUGAUUUGCUGACGAGUGGCGGACGGGUGAGUAAUGUCUGGGAAACUGCCUGAUGGAGGGGGAUAACUACUGGAAACGGUAGCUAAUACCGCAUAAUGUCGCAAGACCAAAGAGGGGGACCUUCGGGCCUCUUGCCAUCGGAUGUGCCCAGAUGGGAUUAGCUAGUAGGUGGGGUAACGGCUCACCUAGGCGACGAUCCCUAGCUGGUCUGAGAGGAUGACCAGCCACACUGGAACUGAGACACGGUCCAGACUCCUACGGGAGGCAGCAGUGGGG
rnacentral:rRNA from 1 species